UCAUCUUUCUUUGGGGACCCGGAGUUUUUAUUAGGUGACAAAGCCCUGCUGAAUGUUUCAGUGAUAUUACUCUGCUACUGGGGGGGACAAUACUUGAAAUCAGAGAGCUGAAGGCUAUUUCCUGUCACUGUUGUGGGGCACA